GGGGAUGUGGCGGAAUCGGUAUACGCGCUAGUUUGAGGGACUAGUGGGGCAACCCUUGAGAGUUCGAGUCUCUCCAUCCCCA
rnacentral:tRNA from 1 species